rnacentral:rRNA from 1 species
GAUGAACGCUGGCGGCGUGCCUAAUACAUGCAAGUCGAGCGAUCGCACGAGACGCUUUCUUCUCUGAUGUUAGCGUCGCACGCGUGAGUAACACGUCUAUAACCUACCUAUAAGACUGGGAUAACUUCGGGAAACCGUAGCUAAUACCGGAUAAUCUUUUGAACCGCAUGGUUCAAAAGUGAAAGACGGUCUUGCUUUCACUUAUAGAUGGAUCCGCGCUGCAUUAGCUAGUUGGUCAGGUAACGGCUUACCAAGGCAACGAUGCAUAGCCGACCUGAGAGGGUGAUCGGCCACACUGGAACUGAGACACGGUCCAGACUCCUACGGGAGGCAGCAGUGGGGAAUAUUGCGCAAAGGGCGAAAGCCUGAUGGAGCAACGCCGCGUGAAUGAUGAAGGUCUUCGGAUCGUAAAACUCUGUUAGUAGGGAAGAAGAGAUGUGUAAGAAAAUGUGCACAUCUUGACGUUACCUAAUGAGAAAGCCACGGCUAACUACGUG